GCCUACGGGGCGCAGCAGUGAGGAAUAUUGGUCAAUGGCCGGAAGGCUGAACCAGCCAAGCCGCGUGAAGGACGAAGGUGCCAAGCAUUGUAAACUUCUUUUGUCAAGGGACAAAAUCAGGCUCGAGAGCCUGACCGAGGGUACUUGAAGAAAAAGCAUCGGCUAACUCCGUGCCAGCAGCCGCGGUAAUACGGAGGAUGCGAGCGUUAUCCGGAUUUACUGGGUGUAAAGGGAGCGUAGACGGCAGAGCAAGUCUGAAGUGAAAGCCCGCGGCCCAACUGCGGGACUGCUUUGGAAACUGCCCG
rnacentral:rRNA from 1 species